rnacentral:lncRNA from 1 species
UAAAAAUUCUAAACUUCAGGUCUAAUAAUAUAAACUACAUCUAAGUAUUUUGCAGUCCACAGGAUAAUUGAGGGAAGUUAGUUCUGAGAUGAUGAAAAUAAUAUAUGGUCUCAAAGGAAGUCGGCCUCAUUGUGAACAAGACGAAAUCCCGCUUUAUAUAAACCAAGGCAGGUUGGAAAAGUCCAGAAGCAAAUUUUAGAAGAAAAAUAUUGUACUGAAUAACUACAAUGGGCCAUUGAAGAAGAGAAGACGGCACAAGAGGGAAAUAUGGGCCUUAGAAAAAGAUAUCACGCCUCUAUCCCAUAAAGAGGUAGGCAGAGCACAUGAACUACUAAGUUUCUGUGCCACUCUUGGCAAAAAGGGGUGGAAAGAAAUCCAAAUUAUGACAUUGAAGAAGUGAAGACUAAAUAAGUAAACCAAAGGCCCCAAGAAUAUAAAAGACUGCAAUGAAAUUGUCAAGAAGAGGGUGCGAGAGCAGAA